UCUUCGGACCAAAGCGGGGGACCUUCGGGCCUCGCGCCACCAGAUGAACCUAUAUGGGAUUAGCUGGUAGGUAAGGUAACGGCUUACCUAGGCGACGAUCCUUAGCUGGUCUGAGAGGAUGGUCAGCCACACUGGGGCUGAGACACGGCCAGACUCCUACGGGAGGCAGCAGUGGGGAAUAUUGCACAAUGGGCGCAAGCCUGAUGCAGCCAUGCCGCGUGUAUGAAGAAGGCCUUCGGGUUGUAAAGUACUUUCAGUCGGGAGGAAGGUGUCCAGGUUAAUAACCUUGGCAUUUGACCGUUUACCGACAGAAAGAAGCCACCGGGUUAACUCCCGGUGCCAACAGCCCGCGGGUCAAUUCACGGGAGGGGGUUGGCCAAGCCGUUAAUCCGGGAAUUUACCUGGGGCCCGUUAAAGCGGCAACGGCAGGCCGGGUCUGGANUCGGAUCUCCAGCAUUGUUGAAAAUUCCCCGGGGCUUUAACCCCGGGGAAAUUGGGCAUUCUCGAAUUNACUGGUCACACCUUAAAAGUCCUUGGNUACACAAAAGGGGGGGUUAAAAAAUUCCCCUUUGUUNUACCGGGUNGAAAAAUUUGGCGUUA
rnacentral:rRNA from 1 species